rnacentral:rRNA from 1 species
GACGAACGCUGGCGGCGUGCCUAAUACAUGCAAGUCGAGCGGACGGAUGGGAGCUUGCUCCCAGACCGUCAGCGGCGGACGGGUGAGUAACACGUGGGCAACCUGCCUGUAAGACUGGGAUAACUCCGGGAAACCGGAGCUAAUACCGGAUAACUCUUUCCCUCACAUGAGGGAAAGCUGAAAGAUGGCAUCUCGCUAUCACUUACAGAUGGGCCCGCGGCGCAUUAGCUAGUUGGUGAGGUAACGGCUCACCAAGGCGACGAUGCGUAGCCGACCUGAGAGGGUGAUCGGCCACACUGGGACUGAGACACGGCCCAGACUCCUACGGGAGGCAGCAGUAGGGAAUCUUCCGCAAUGGACGAAAGUCUGACGGAGCAACGCCGCGUGAGUGAUGAAGGUUUUCGGAUCGUAAAACUCUGUUGUCAGGGAAGAACAAGUACCGGAGUAACUGCCGGUACCUUGACGGUACCUGACCAGAAAGCCACGGCUAACUACGUG